CAUCUCCUCCACGAACGACUCCUUGGACUUCAUUUCGAUCGGAUCCGCCUCAGAUUCGCAUCGCUGUCAUCGUUUGUUUGUCUCAGAUCUACGUCGCCAAGGUCUUCCAGCCACUGUUGUUGCUCUUGUCGCAACACCACACCUCCGCCGCUUGCACCGCCUCCGUUCUUGUGUGUAGACGCACAAGAUCGUCGCCGCGGAAAACCCAAAAAUU